rnacentral:rRNA from 1 species
GACGAACGCUGGCGGCGUGCCUAAUACAUGCAAGUCGAGCGAAUGGAUUGAGAGCUUGCUCUUAUGAAGUUAGCGGCGGACGGGUGAGUAACACGUGGGUAACCUGCCCAUAAGACUGGAUAACUCCGGGAAACCGGGGCUAAUACCGGAUAACAUUUUGAACCGCAUGGUUCGAAAUUGAAAGGCGGCUUCGGCUGUCACUUAUGGAUGGACCCGCGUCGCAUUAGCCAGUUGGUGAGGUAACGGCUCACCAAGGCAACGAUGCGUAGCCGACCUGAGAGGGUGAUCGGCCACACUGGGACGGGGACACGGCCCAGACUCCUACGGGAGGCAGCAGUAGGGAAUCUUCCGCAAUGGACGAAAGUCUGACGGAGCAACGCCGCGUGAGUGAUGAAGGCUUUCGGGUCGUAAAACUCUGUUGUUAGGGAAGAACAAGUGCUAGUUGAAUAAGCUGGCACCUUGACGGUACCUAACCAGAAAGCCACGGCUAACUACGUGCCAGCCGCCGCGGUAA